rnacentral:lncRNA from 1 species
GAUGAUAAAGAUGACAAACUCGUGCAGCAAGAAUGCCACCUGCUCCUUCCUACUGUAUUCUAUAAGGAAGUAAGUCCGACUAAGUCAAAUGAUGGGGUAAAAACUAAAAAGAACUAGUGAUGCAAAAAAUUUUAAAAAAAAAAAAAAAAAAACAUAAGCAAGUCGGGAAGGUACCUGUAUGGGUGAAUAUUUCUUAAGGCGCUCAUGGUUCUUGCAAGUCCCCAAAUAAUGAGACAAGUGCAAAGAACCAGCAGCAGCCAUUAUUGGACAAAACUAAGCAGACAAUUAACUAUCAACGGCAGCAUAUAAGAUAAAUAGGUUACUCCAUAUUCAUCAAGAGUCUUUCUAACUGCAAAAUAAGUAUAUCAAAAUUGAUGAUUCCCCCACAACCUCUACUUCUCUUGGAAAAAUCUGCAAAACCCAGAAUUGAAAACCUCAUCAGAAUUGAAAUUUAAUCACUAAUGUGCCUUUGGAAGUUAAAUUUUAAUGAAAAAUCAAAUCUUUUUAACUGGAUUUUUUCUUUUUAACAGGAUAGAAAAUUCUAACCUAAAGGAGUUUCCAGUAUAAAUUGAAAAGUUAUAGCCAGAUUGAAUUUUUGAAGCAAAAUUGAGAAAAAUACCAACUUUCAAAAGGAAUAAAGAUUAAAUAAAACAAAAGUUGAAUUUGAACGAAAAAUCAAAUCUUUUUAACUGGGUAU